rnacentral:rRNA from 1 species
AGCGAACGCUGGCGGCAGGCUUAACACAUGCAAGUCGAGCGCCCCGCAAGGGGAGCGGCAGACGGGUGAGUAACACGUGGGAACGUGCCUUUUGGUUCGGAACAACCCAGGGAAACUUGGGCUAAUACCGGAUAGGCCCUUACGGGGAAAGAUUUAUCGCCAAAAGAUCGGCCCGCGUCUGAUUAGCUAGUUGGUGGGGUAAUGGCCCACCAAGGCUACGAUCAGUAGCUGGUCUGAGAGGAUGAUCAGCCACAUUGGGACUGAGACACGGCCCAAACUCCUACGGGAGGCAGCAGUGGGGAAUGUUGGACAAUGGGGGCAACCCUGAUCCAGCCAUGCCGCGUGAGUGAUGAAGGCCUUAGGGUUGUAAAGCUCUUUUAGCAGGGAAGAUAAUGACGGUACCUGCAGAAAAAGCCCCGGCUAACUUCGUGCCAGCCGCCGCCGUAAAAC